CGAACGAAGUAGCAAUACUUAGUGGCAGACGGGUGAGUAACAUGUAGGUAUCUACCCUAUGGCCUGGAAUAACACGAGGAAACUUGUGCUAAUACUGGAUAAGUCUUUACGGAGAAAGCUUUAUGCACCAUUGGAUGAGCCUGCACUUGAUUAGUUAGUUGGUAGGGUAAUGGCCUACCAAGACUUUGAUCAAUAGCUGAUUUGAGAGGAUGAUCAGCCACAUUGGGACUGAGACACGGCCCAAACUCCUACGGGAGGCAGCAGUGGGGAAUCUUGCACAAUGGAGGAAACUCUGAUGCAGCGAUGCCGCGUGAGUGAAGAAGGCCUUUGGGUUGUAAAGCUCUUUCGUCGGGGAAGAAAAUGACUGUACCCGAAUAAG
rnacentral:rRNA from 1 species